GCGGGGGUGGCCGAGCCAGGUCAAAGGCGGCGGCCUCAAGAGCCGCUCCCGUAGGGGUUCGUGGGUUCGAAUCCCACCCCCCGCA
rnacentral:tRNA from 1 species